GCGGGGGUAGCCAAGCUAGGUCAAAGGCGGAGGACUCAAGAUCCUUUCGCAAAGGCGUUCAUGGGUUCGAGUCCCAUCCCCCGCA
rnacentral:tRNA from 1 species